UACGUAGGGUCCGAGCGUUGUCCGGAAUUACUGGGCGUAAAGAGCUCGUAGGUGGUUUGUCGCGUUGUUCGUGAAAACUCACAGCUCAACUGUGGGCGUGCGGGCGAUACGGGCAGACUAGAGUACUGCAGGGGAGACUGGAAUUCCUGGUGUAGCGGUGGAAUGCGGAGAUAUCAGGAGGAACACCGAUGGCGAAGGCAGGUCUCUGGGCACUUACUGACGCUGAGGAGCGAAAGCGUGGGGAGCGAACAGG
rnacentral:rRNA from 1 species